rnacentral:rRNA from 1 species
CCGGUUGAUCCUGCCGGAGGCCACUGCUAUGGGGGUCCGACUAAGCCAUGCGAGUCAUGGGGUCCCUUCGGGGACACCGGCGGACGGCUCAGUAACACGUCGGUAACCUACCCUCGGGAGGGGGAUAACCCCGGGAAACUGGGGCUAAUCCCCCAUAGGCCUGGGGUACUGGAAGGUCCCCAGGCCGAAAGGGGCUUUUGCCCGCCCGAGGAUGGGCCGGCGGCCGAUUAGGUAGUUGGUGGGGUAACGGCCCACCAAGCCGAAGAUCGGUACGGGCCAUGAGAGUGGGAGCCCGGAGAUGGACACUGAGACACGGGUCCAGGCCCUACGGGGCGCAGCAGGCGCGAAACCUCCGCAAUGCGGGAAACCGCGACGGGGGGACCCCCAGUGCCGUGGCACAGCCACGGCUUUUCCGGAGUGUAAAAAGCUCCGGGAAUAAGGGCUGGGCAAGGCCGGUGGCAGCCGCCGCGGUAAUACCGGCGGCCCAAGUGGUGGCCGCUAUUAUUGGGCCUAAAGCGUCCGUAGCCGGGCCCGUAAGUCCCUGGCGAAAUCCCACGGCUCAACCGUGGGGCUUGCUGGGGAUACUGCGGGCCUUGGGACCGGGAGAGGCCGGGGGUACCCCUGGGGUAGGGGUGAAAUCCUAUAAUCCCAGGGGGACCGCC